CUCACUGACACACACACACAGAAACACACUGACAGACAGACACUUACUGACAGACACACACACUUACGGACAGGCGCACACACACACACAGACACUCACUGACACACACAGGCAGACACUCACACACACAGGCAGACACUCACUAACACACACACACACACACAGGCAGACACUCACACACACUCACCUGGGGUCCAGUGUGGGGAACCUCCUCGCUCCUCCAGUGUGCUGCUUAGUAUGCCG